rnacentral:rRNA from 1 species
UACGUAGGGGGCAAGCGUUGUCCGGAAUCAUUGGGCGUAAAGCGCGCGUAGGUGGCCCGAUAAGUCCGCUGUGAAAGUCAAAGGCUCAACCUUUGGAAGCCGGUGGAUACUGUCGGGCUGGAGUCCGGAAGAGGCGAGUGGAAUUCCUGGUGUAGCGGUGGAAUGCGCAGAUAUCAGGAGGAACACCGAUAGCGAAGGCAGCUCGCUGGGACGGUACUGACACUGAGGCGCGAAAGCGUGGGGAGCGAACAGG